rnacentral:rRNA from 1 species
GAUGAACGCUGGCGGCGUGCCUAAUACAUGCGAGUCGAGCGAACGGACGAGAAGCUUGCUUCUCUGAUGUUAGCGGCGGACGGGUGAGUAACACGUGGAUAACCUACCUAUAAGACUGGGAUAACUUCGGGAAACCGGAGCUAAUACCGGAUAAUAUUUUGAACCGCAUGGUUCAAAAGUGAAAGACGGUCUUGCUGUCACUUAUAGAUGGAUCCGCGCUGCAUUAGCUAGUUGGUAAGGUAACGGCUUACCAAGGCAACGAUGCAUAGCCGACCUGAGAGGGUGAUUGGCCACACUGGAACUGAGACUCGGUCCAGACUCCUACGGGAGGCAGCAGUAGGGAAUCUUCCGCAAUGGGCGAAAGCCUGACGGAGCAACGCCGCGUGAGUGAUGAAGGUCUUCGGAUCGUAAAACUCUGUUAUUAGGGAAGAACAUAUGUGUAAGUAACUGUGCACAUCUUGACGUUACCUAAUCAGAAAGCCACGGCUAACUACGUG